GUCCACACACAGCUGGCAGAACACCUUUUGCUCUAAUUCGCGAGGAAAAAAAGAAGGAAAUCUCUGAUACUUCAGAUACUGUAUCAAGUAAGGACAUGUUUGUGGCUACAAGAAAAAGAAAACUUGGCCGCGUAUACAAAAGCUCAUAUGACAAUACGAUUAGUAAAAUUGCUGAAAUGGAGAGAAUGCAAUCUACUCAGGAAAGUGAAG